rnacentral:misc_RNA from 1 species
GAAAUAUCCUGAGGUAUCAUUUCUCCCUCUAACAUAAAAAACUAAAAAAGGAAAAAAUAAAAAAAGAACAGAAAUAGCUCAGUCAUUGCUCUCCACCUUCUUGCUCUCUCUUGAGAUCAGAAGGAGGUAGAAAGCAAUCCAUUGACAACCCACAAAUAUUAAAAUCAACUUCUUCAAUUCUCCAUGAUUCUUCAAUCUUCCUCUUGUGAUUAUGGGACUCUCCAUACCUAUAUAAUGUUGCAGUGGUCUUUCCACUAUGUGCUAUAUUGAUGCCUUCAAUAUAUCUAUAAUCCCCAACCAAUGAUUCCAUACUUGUUUCCCAGUAGACACUAUCAUUCCCCCGGAUAGGUUUCAUCUUCACCAACUUUGUAUCUUCGAAUUUGACAAGCAGUCCUGUCCUUUGGCUGAAGUAGCCCCAUACCGUAUGGUGAAGGAUUUCAGUGUUGGGAGAAGAUUGACUUUUCAGGACGUUUGCAUCAGUCUCGAGUUUGAGCACAAAACAGUCUUCAUUAUUUACAUUCUUCUCUCCAAUGCAUACUGCUUCUAAGAACAAGUUGGCCGUGCACCUGGGAUCCAAUCCCUGGAAGAAACGUCUCAAGGGACGUGGUGGGCCUCUAUUGGCAUGACAAGGUUGAGAAGAGGACUGGUUCCACGCAACCUUGCCAUCACUACCUGCACUAACCUUAUAACCGGAAACAACUAGUUCUAAGUACCAAAGGUCAGGGUUUUUUUGCCAAAGCACAAACCCACCAACCUCAGAAUUGCCUCUUGUUUGCACGCUAUCAUCACCCUGGUGCAUUUCUGACCCUGCCAUCUUAACCUGCCCUACUGCAUACAUACUAGUCACUGAAUUCAGAGCCGCCGGUCCUCCUGUUGCUGCUACAUAUUGCUGCACUAUAUAUUUCGCAGUAGAUGCUUCAAUUGAACGAUCUCUGAUAGAGCGAGUGACAGGCUGAUCCGGGUGGACUUGAAAAGGAAUAAGAGGAGAGCCAACAAGCUUGAGCAAUGCAAUAAACUCAUCGUUAGAUUUAGCUUGGAGAUGGGAUGAUUUAUCUGCAGAUUGAGCUCUCAUCAAUGCACGCAUGUUCGCCCAUCUGGAAGCCCCAUUGCUGCCCAUGCUUGUAAACAUCUCUUCCGGAACAGGCACCUCCAAGACGGUGUCAAGCCCAUCUUCCCUAUCGAAAUUUGGGCACAGCUUCCUCAUAUCAAUCAAGAAAUUAACAAAGAAAAACGAGGGAGAUGGAGGGAGAAAGAGGAACGGAAAAGAAACCUCUCUCCCUCUUUCCCUCGAACUGAAACUGGAUAGAGGGAAUGCAAAUGAGAGAGAUUAAGGGGCUUCUUCAUUUUAC